rnacentral:rRNA from 1 species
UGCUUACUUNNAUAACCUAUUAAACAAUCAACCNACUAAUACCAAAAACUUCCAACAACGGAUCUCUUGGUUCUCGCAUCGAUGAAGAACGCAGCGAAAUGCGAUACGUAAUAUGAAUUGCAGAUUUUGUGAAUCAUCGAAUCUUUGAACGCACAUUGCGCCCGUGGGUAUUCCCGCGGGCAUGCGUGUGUGAGCGGUUAUCUCCCUCGCAGGUAAUGGACAUACGGCGUCAGCUGUUCCUCCAAAAAGUGAUUGGUGUAGUAUUACAGUUUACUCACAACCAUACUUUUUCCCUCACACACGUAAGACUACCCGCUGAACUUAAGCAUAUCAAUAANCGGAGGAA